UACGUAGGUGGCAAGCGUUGUCCGGAUUUACUGGGCGUAAAGAGCGCGCAGGCGGUCGUCAAGUCGCGUGUGAAAGCCCCCGGCUCAACCGGGCGAGGGCGUGCCAAACUGGGUCACUAGAAACAGGCAGAGGAAAGUGGAAUUCGGGGUGUAGUGGUGAAAUGCGUAGAGAUCCCGAGGAACUCCUGUGGCGAAGGCGACUUUCUGGGCCUGUAACUGACGCUGAGGCGCGAAAGCGUGGGGAGCAAACAGG
rnacentral:rRNA from 1 species